GCUCCAAUAGCGUAUAUUAAAGUUGUUGCAGUUAAAAAGCUCGUAGUUGGAUUUGUGGUUGAGCUGUCCGGUCCGACACUUUUGUGUGGGUACUUGGACGGCUCGUCCAUCCUUGGGUGGAAUCUGUGUGGCAUUAGGUUGUCGUGCAGGGGAUGCCAUCUUUUACUGUGAAUUAAUUAGAGUGUUCAAAGCAGGCUUAU
rnacentral:rRNA from 1 species